rnacentral:rRNA from 1 species
UACAGAGGGUGCGAGCGUUGUCCGGAAUCACUGGGCGUAAAGGGCGCGUAGGCGGUCUCUUAAGCGUGUGGUGAAAGCCCGGGGCUCAACUCCGGGUCGGCCGUGCGAACUGGGGGACUGGAGCUUGUCAGAGGCAGGCGGAAUUCCGGGUGUAGCGGUGGAAUGCGUAGAGAUCCGGAAAGAACACCAACGGCGAAAGCACUCUGCUGGGCCGACACUGACACUGAGAGACGAAAGCUAGGGGAGCGAAUGGG